rnacentral:lncRNA from 1 species
UGUGCAGUAGAGCUUCCACUGCCCCUAUAGNNNNNAGAUAGACUGAGCUCCUCAAGAAUUCCUAUUUAAGUUACAAAGCAGCGAGUGGAUGCCCUGCUGGGUUCCACUGUUGCCACAGGCUUUGAUUACUCUAAGUUCAUGCUUCUUAGGAAAGUGCACUUUUUACACCAAUGCUACACAGUUCCCUCAGUUGCCUUUACUGGACAUCAAAGAGUUCACAUUUUUGACAACUGUUCAGUCCUGGACUGUCCAAGGGGUGGAGCUAGCUCAGUACAGGAAGCUGCCUGCUGCGUGUGGAUCAGUAAUAUCAGACUUGCGCAACAACUCACUGGAGACAUGAAAACCAAUGCAUGGGGGAUGCAUGACGUCACCCAAAUAAUUAUGAACACUCUUGUGCUGCCAGAGACCCCAGAUCUCUAAACCAAUGCAUGGGGAAUGCAUGAUAUCACCCAAAUAUUUACAAACACGCUUAUUCUGCCAGAGACCCCAGAUCACUUUUCCUGCCUCCUGCUAAAUAAAUGGGGGCAGUAGCUUUGCAUCGGCUUCCACAUUACAUUACUCAUAACUGUGGCCUUCCUAAUCUCUUAUGUCCCUAAACACUUAUUACAAUGUCUCAGCAGCUUUCGCUCAGCCUCUCAAAAUAUUAGUCAUCACGAAAAUAAAUGUCUGAUGUUAAAGCAUCAGGGGUCAAUUGUAUUGUGACACCUAAAAUUUCAUGCAGCACCCCACCAUGUCCUCAGCCUAAUGGCUUUCAUGCCCCCACCAGACUGCAAAACUCUGAAUUAGUCAAGCACAUCCCUGAAGGGACGAGGGGUUACCCCACCCUCUGAUUUCUACCAAGCCUGCCUCCCACACCAUCUGUUCCAGAGAGCAACCCUUGCUACACAGUUCCCUCAGUUGCCUUUACUGGACAUCAAAGAGUUCACAUUUUUGACAACCGUUCAGUCCUGGACUGUCCAAGGGGUGGAGCUAGCUCAGUACAGGAAGCUGCCUGCUGCGUGUGGAUCAGUAAUAUCAGACUUGCGCAACAACUCACUGGAGACAUGAAAACCAAUGCAUGGGGGAUGCAUGACGUCACCCAAAUAAUUAUGAACACUCUUGUGCUGCCAGAGACCCCAGAUCUCUAAACCAAUGCAUGGGGAAUGCAUGAUAUCACCCAAAUAUUUACAAACACGCUUAUUCUGCCAGAGACCCCAGAUCACUUUUCCUGCCUCCUGCUAAAUAAAUGGGGGCAGUAGCUUUGCAUCGGCUUCCACAUUACAUUACUCAUAACUGUGGCCUUCC